GUGUCCUACGGGGCGCAGCAGUGAGGAAUAUUGGUCAAUGGCCGAGAGGCUGAACCAGCCAAGUCGCGUGAGGGAUGACGGCCCUACGGGUUGUAAACCUCUUUUGUCGGGGAGCAAAGAGAGUCACGUGUGACUCAUUGAGAGUACCCGAAGAAAAAGCAUCGGCUAACUCCGUGCCAGCAGCCGCGGUAAUACGGAGGAUGCGAGCGUUAUCCGGAUUUAUUGGGUUUAAAGGGUGCGCAGGCGGCGAGUUAAGUCAGCGGUAAAAUUUCGGGGCUCAACCCCGACAAGCCGUUGAAACUGGG
rnacentral:rRNA from 1 species